rnacentral:rRNA from 1 species
ACGCUCGACACCUACCGGGAGCAGCAGGUGGGGAAUAUUGCACAAGUGGGGGAAACCCUGAUGCAGCGACGCCGCGUGAAGGAAGAAGUAUCUCGGUAUGUAAACUUCUAUCAGCAGGGAAGAAAAUGACGGUACCUGACUAAGAAGCCCCGGCUAAUUACGUGCCAGCAGCCACGGUAAUCUGAGCGGGCUGGCAAGGC